AUGGCCCAGCAGCAGAUGAACAGCUCGCAAAAAGCCCUGAUGCUUGAGCUGAAAUCCCUGCAGGAGGAACCGGUGGAGGGCUUCCGGAUCACUCUGGUGGAUGAGUCCGACCUCUACAACUGGGAGGUGGCCAUCUUCGGACCCCCUAACACCCUCUACGAAGGCGGCUACUUCAAGGCACAUAUUAAAUUUCCUAUUGACUACCCGUAUUCACCACCUACUUUCAGAUUCUUGACCAAAAUGUGACACCCCAACAUUUAUGAGAAUGGAGAUGUAUGCAUUUCAAUUCUUCAUCCGCCUGUAGAUGACCCACAGAGUGGAGAACUGCCCUCUGAGAGGUGGAAUCCUACUCAGAACGUUAGGACUAUCCUGUUAAGUGUAAUCUCACUGCUUAAUGAGCCCAAUACCUUUUCUCCAGCCAAUGUGGAUGCUUCAGUCAUGUUCAGGAAAUGGAGGGACAGCAAAGGAAAAGAUAAGGAAUAUGCUGAAAUCAUUAGGAAACAGGUCUCAGCCACUAAAGCUGAAGCAGAAAGGGAUGGAGUGAAGGUCCCCACAACCCUGGCAGAGUACUGCAUCAAAACUAACGUGCCUUCCAAUGACAACAGCUCAGAUUUGCUUUAUGACGACUUGUAUGACGACGACAUUGAUGAUGAAGAUGAUGAGGAAGAAGAUGCCGACUGUUAUGAUGAUGAUGAUUUUGGAAAUGAGGAGUCAUGACAUGUUCCUUCAGUGCCCCUGUACUGCCCUGACAUCUCAGGCCAAAGGGAGGGGAGCAAGUGGGGAUCUACAGUGGCCACUCAGCAAAAACUUACUCCUGGGGUGGGGAAGCAGCCAGCCCCUGCUGCCUCUUGCGGAUGAUCUCAGUUUGCUCCUUUAUGGACCUUUACUGGAGAGAGAGUUCCUCCACAGAUUGUCUCAAGUCUUGCAUUCUUUCCCUGCCAUCACUGUAUUGAUUCUUUUUUAAAAACAGCCACCACCCCUCAAGCUCCCACCUCACCUCAUCUCUGCAGAAUGUUCACAGCAAAACACCUUUGUCUGUUUUUAGAUUCUUGGAGAAUUAGUCUAUUCGAGUCAUUGUGUUUAAAGCUGGGAGCCCACUGGGAGUCCACAAGUGCUGCAUAUAUUGGGUAGCAAAAGAAA